GAACGCACCUUGCGCCUUUUGGUAUUCCGAAAGGCAUGCCUGUUUCAGUGUCAUGAAAUCUCAAUCUAAUAUGUUUUCUGAACAUGUUAGGCUUGGACUUGGGUGUCUGCCAGCAAUGGCUCACCUCAAAUGACUUAGUGGAACAUCCCACAUCAGUGUUAGACGUAAUAAGUUUCGUCUCUCCUUGUGGUGAUGACUGCUCAAAACCUGCCAUCGCGCACCUUUUGACUUUGACCUGAAAUCAGGUAGGGCUACCCGCUGAACUUAAG
rnacentral:misc_RNA from 1 species